CCUACGGGGGGCAGCAGUGAGGAAUAUUGGUCAAUGGGCGGGAGCCUGAACCAGCCAAGCCGCGUGAGGGAAGAAGGUACAGCGUAUCGUAAACCUCUUUUGUCAGGGAACAAAGGCGGGGACUAGUCCCCGGAUGAGGGUACCUGAAGAAAAAGCAUCGGCUAACUCCGUGCCAGCAGCCGCGGUAAUACGGAGGAUGCGAGCGUUAUCCGGAUUUAUUGGGUUUAAAGGGUGCGCAGGCGGCCUGUUAAGUCAGAGGGAAAAGCCCGGGGCUAAACCCCGGCGAGCCGUUGAAACUGGCGGGCUGGAGUUGGAGAGAGGUACGCGGAAUGCGCGGUGUAGCGGUGAAAUGCUUAGAUAUCGCGCAGAACCCCGAUUGCGAAGGCAGCGUACCGGCUCCACACUGACGCUGAGGCACGAAAGCGUGGGUAUCGAACAGGAUUAGAUACCCCAGUAGUC
rnacentral:rRNA from 1 species